AGAGGGCAAGAGUAAUUCACUCUCUAACAAAAUCCUGCAUAAGAACAUUUUCUGAUGUUUUAUCAUGGAAAUAUAACCCAGAGAAUAUGCCCUCCAAAGCAUCUGCAUAUGUCAAAAAAGCAUAUUGGGCAUGACAACAUUUUCUUAUUUCAAAGGUUCUCAAAAAAAGGAGCACGUAGAGGGCAAGAGUAAUUCACUCUCCAACGAAAUCCUGCAUUAGAACUUUUUCUGAUGUUUUAUUAUGGAAUUAUAACCAAGAGAAUAUUACCUCCAAAGCAACUGUAUAUGCGAAAAAGCAUAUUAGGCAUGGCAUCAUUUUCUUGUUUCAAAGGUUCUCAAAAAAAGGAGCAUGUAGAGGGCAAGAGUAAUUCACUCUCUAACAAAAUCCUGCAUAAGAACAUUUUCUGAUGUUUUAUCAUGGAAAUAUAACCCAGAGAAUAUGCCCUCCAAAGCAUCUGCAUAUGUCAAAAAAGCAUAUUGGGCAUGACAACAUUUUCUUAUUUCAAAGGUUCUCAAAAAAAGGAGCACGUAGAGGGCAAGAGUAAUUCACUCUCCAACGAAAUCCUGCAUUAGAACUUUUUCUGAUGUUUUAUUAUGGAAUUAUAACCAAGAGAAUAUUACCUCCAAAGCAACUGUAUAUGCGAAAAAGCAUAUUAGGCAUGGCAUCAUUUUCUUGUUUCAAAGGUUCUCAAAAAAAGGAGCAUGUAGAGGGCAAGAGUAAUUCACUCUCUAACAAAAUCCUGCAUAAGAACAUUUUCUGAUGUUUUAUCAUGGAAAUAUAACCCAGAGAAUAUGCCCUCCAAAGCAUCUGCAUAUGUCAAAAAAGCAUAUUGGGCAUGACAACAUUUUCUUAUUUCAAAGGUUCUCAAAAAAAGGAGCAUGUAGAGGGCAAGAGUAAUUCACUUUCUAACGAGAUCCUGCAUUAGAACAUUUUCUGAUGUUUU